GCUAUACAUGCAGUCGAGCGACAGAUAAGGAGCUUGCUCCUUUGACGUUAGCGGCGGACGGGUGAGUAACACGUGGGUAACCUACCUAUAAGACUGGGAUAACUUCGGGAAACCGGAGCUAAUACCGGAUAACAUUUGGAACCGCAUGGUUCUAAAGUGAAAGAUGGUUUUGCUAUCACUUAUAGAUGGACCCGCGCCGUAUUAGCUAGUUGGUAAGGUAACGGCUUACCAAGGCAACGAUACGUAGCCGACCUGAGAGGGUGAUCGGCCACACUGGAACUGAGACACGGUCCAGACUCCUACGGGAGGCAGCAGUAGGGAAUCUUCCGCAAUGGGCGAAAGCCUGACGGAGCAACGCCGCGUGAGUGAUGAAGGGUUUCGGCUCGUAAAACUCUGUUAUUAGGGAAGAACAAAUGUGUAAGUAACUGUGCACAUCUUGACGGUACCUAAUCAGAAAGCCACGGCUAACUACGUGCCAGCAGCGGCGGUAAUAAA
rnacentral:rRNA from 1 species